rnacentral:rRNA from 1 species
UACAGAGGGGGGCAAGCGUUGUUCGGAAUUAUUGGGCGUAAAGCGCGCGCAGGUGGUUUCUUAAGUCUGAUGUGAAAGCCCACGGCUCAACCGUGGAGGGUCAUUGGAAACUGGGAGACUUGAGUGCAGAAGAGGAUAGUGGAAUUCCAAGUGUAGCGGUGAAAUGCGUAGAGAUUUGGAGGAACACCAGUGGCGAAGGCGACUAUCUGUCUGUAACUGACACUGAGGCGCGAAAGCGUGGGGAGCAAACAGGAUUAGAAACCCGGUG